GCGAAGGUAGCGCAAUCACUUGUCUUUUAAAUGAAGACCUGUAUGAAUGGCACGACGAGGGCUUAACUGUCUCCUUUUUCCAGUCAAUGAAAUUGAUCUUCCCGUGCAGAAGCGGGAAUAAUACCAUAAGACGAGAAGACCCUGUGGAGCUUCAGACACUAAAUCAGCCCUUGUCCAAAAUCCCAAUUAAAGGACUGAACACUAGAGUGAGACCUGAUAUAAUGUCUUCGGUUGGGGCGACCUUGGGGAAAGAAAAAACCCCCACGCGGAACAGAAGUACCAUACUUCCAAAACUAAGAGCCACCACUCAAAGUAUCAGAAAUUUUGACCAACUAUAUGAUCCGGCUUAACGCCGAUCAACGGACCGAGUUACCCCA
rnacentral:rRNA from 1 species